rfam:Schistosoma mansoni, Puerto Rico, WGS project CABG01000000 data, contig: 0310
AUCUAGCUGACGAGUCCCGAAUAGGACGAAACGCGCGUCCUGGAU